UGGGGAAUCUUGCACAAUGGGCGGAAGCCUGAUGCAGCGACGCCGCGUGGGGGAUGACGGCCUUCGGGUUGUAAACUCCUUUCGCCAGGGACGAAGCCGUGAGGUGACGGUACCUGGAUAAGAAGCACCGGCUAACUACGUGCCAGCAGCCGCGGUAAUACGUAGGGUGCGAGCGUUGUCCGGAAUUACUGGGCGUAAAGAGCUCGUAGGUGGUUUGUCGCGUCGUCUGUGAAAUUCCGGGGCUUAAAUACGGGCGUGCAGGCGAUACGGGCAUAACUUGAGUGCUGUAGGGGAGACUGGAAUUCCUGGUGUAGCGGUGAAAUGCGCAGAUAUCAGGAGGAACACCGAUGGCGAAGGCAGGUCUCUGGGCAGUAACUGACGCUGAGGAGCGAAAGCAUGGGUAGCGAACAGG
rnacentral:rRNA from 1 species